UACGAAGGGGGGCUAGCGUUGUUCGGAAUCACUGGGCGUAAAGCGCACGCAGGCGGAUUGAUAAGUCAGGGGUGAAAUCCCGGGGCUCAACCUCGGAAUUGCCUUUUGAUACUGUCUGUCUUGAGUUCGGGAGAGGUUGGCGGAAUUCCUAGUGUAGAGGUGAAAAUUCGUAGAUAUUAGGAAGAACACCAGUGGCGAAGGCGGCCAACUGGCCCGAUACUGACGCUCAUGUGCGAAAAGCGUGGGGGAGCAAACAGGGAAUUAGAAUA
rnacentral:rRNA from 1 species